GACGAACGCUGGCGGCGUGCUUAACACAUGCAAGUCGAGCGGAGCGGCGCACGGGUGAGUAACGCGUGAGUAACUGCCCCCCUCUCUGGGAUAACAGUUGGAAACGGCUUCUAAUACCGGAUAGUGGGGGAUGACUCGCGGCCUAUCCGCUUGUUGGUUGGGUAGUGGCCUACCAAGGCGACGACUGGUAGCCGGCCUGAGAGGGCGACAGGCCACAUGGGGCUGAGAUACGGCCCAAACGCCGACGGGAGGAAGCAGGGGGGAAUAUUGCACAAUGGGGGAAACCCUGAUGCAGAAACGCCGCGGGCGGGAUGUCGGCCUUCGGGUUGUAAACCGCUUUCAGCCAUGACGCGGUAGUGGCAGAAGAAGCACCGGCUAACUACGUGCCAGCAGCCGCGGUAAUAC
rnacentral:rRNA from 1 species